UACGUAGGGUGCAAGCGUUAAUCGGAAUUACUGGGCGUAAAGCGUGCGCAGGCGGUUUUGUAAGUCUGACGUGAAAUCCCCGGGCUCAACCUGGGAAUUGCGUUGGAGACUGCAAGGCUAGAAUCUGGCAGAGGGGGGUAGAAUUCCACGUGUAGCAGUGAAAUGCGUAGAGAUGUGGAGGAACACCGAUGGCGAAUGCAGCCCCCUGGGUCAAGAUUGACGCUCAUGCACGAAAGCGUGGGGAGCAAACAGG
rnacentral:rRNA from 1 species